rnacentral:rRNA from 1 species
UACGUAGGGUGCGAGCGUUGUCCGGAAUUAUUGGGCGUAAAGAGCUCGUAGGCGGUGUGUCGCGUCGGCCGUGAAAACCUGGGGCUCAACUCUGGGCGUGCGGUCGAUACGGGCAUCACUUGAGUUCGGCAGGGGAGACUGGAAUUCCUGGUGUAGCGGUGAAAUGCGCAGAUAUCAGGAGGAACACCGGUGGCGAAGGCGGGUCUCUGGGCCGAUACUGACGCUGGGGAGCGAAAGCAUGGGUAGCGAACAGG